rnacentral:misc_RNA from 1 species
ACUUGUCCAGCCAUCAGUCCAGGUAGAAUUGCUGGCACCAACACUUUAACUUUCCUCCACCAUCUCAUAUCUUAUAUAAUAAACUUGUUUGGUAUUUAUAUUAAAAUGGUUAAUGUUCAUAUAGUUGGGUUUAAUUUCACUUGUGAUCAUUACAGUUAUCAUUGCAUUUAGUAUAGUUACUAAUUUUGUUUUUUGGGUUUGAACAUAGGUCCUGGAAAUAAUACUUCG